UACGGAGGAUCCAAGCGUUAUCCGGAUUUAUUGGGUUAAAGGGUGCGUAGGCGGAAUAGUAAAUCAGUGGUGAAAACCUGCAGCUUAACUGCAGAACUGCCAUUGAUACUGCUAAUCUUGAGUACAUUUGAUGUGGGCGGAAUGUGUCAUGUAGCGGUGAAAUGCAUAGAUAUGACACAGAACACCGAUUGCGAAGGCAGCUCACAAAACUGUAACUGACGCUGAGACGCGAAAGCGUGGGGAGCAAACAGG
rnacentral:rRNA from 1 species